rnacentral:rRNA from 1 species
UGGGGAAUAUUGGACAAUGGGCGCAAGCCUGGUCCAGCCAUGCCGCGUGAGUGAUGAAGGCCCUAGGGUUGUAAAGCUCUUUCACCGGUGAAGAUAAUGACGGUAAACGGAGAAGAAGCCCCGGCUAACUUCGGGCCAGCAGCCGCGGUAAUACGAAGGGGGCUAGCGUUGUUCGGAUUUACUGGGCGUAAAGCGCACGUAGGCGGACUUUUAAGUCAGGGGUGAAAUCCCGGGGCUCAACCCCGGAACUGCCUUUGAUACUGGAAGUCUUGAGUAUGGUAGAGGUGAGUGGAAUUCCGAGUGUAGAGGUGAAAUUCGUAGAUAUUCGGAGGAACACCAGUGGCGAAGGCGGCUCACUGGACCAUUACUGACGCUGAGGUGCGAAAGCGUGGGGAGCAAACAGG